rnacentral:rRNA from 1 species
UACAGAGGUCUCAAGCGUUGUUCGGAUUCAUUGGGCGUAAAGGGCGCGUAGGUGGUGGGGUAAGUCGGAUGUGAAAUCCCGGGGCUCAACCCCGGAACUGCAUUCGAAACUGCCUUGCUCGAGUACUGGAGAGGAGACUGGAAUUUACGGUGUAGCAGUGAAAUGCGUAGAUAUCGUAAGGAAGACCAGUGGCGAAGGCGAGUCUCUGGACAGUUACGGACACUGAGGCACGAAGGCCAGGGGAGCAAACGGG